GAUGAACGCUGGCGGCGUGCCUAAUACAUGCCAGUCGAGCGAACAGACGAGGAGCUUGCUCCUCUGACGUUAGCGGCGGACGGGUGAGUAACACGUGGAUAACCUACCUAUAAGACUGGGAUAACUUCGGGAAACCGGAGCUAAUACCGGAUAAUAUAUUGAACCGCAUGGUUCAAUAGUGAAAGACGGUUUUGCUGUCACUUAUAGAUGGAUCCGCGCCGCAUUAGCUAGUUGGUAAGGUAACGGCUUACCAAGGCGACGAUGCGUAGCCGACCUGAGAGGGUGAUCGGCCACACUGGAAGUGAGACACGGUCCAGACUCCUACGGGAGGCAGCAGUAGGGAAUCUUCCGCAAGGGGCGAAAGCCUGACGGAGCAACGCCGCGUGAGUGAUGAAGGUCUUCGGAUCGUAGAGCUCUGUUGUUAGGGAAGAACAAAUGUGUAAGUAACUAUGAACGUCUUGACGGUACCUAAUCAGAAAGCCACGGCUAACUACGUG
rnacentral:rRNA from 1 species